rnacentral:misc_RNA from 1 species
UAGGGUGCGAGCGUUGUCCGGAUUUAUUGGGCGUAAAGGGCUCGUAGGUGGUUGAUCGCGUCGGAAGUGUAAUCUUGGGGCUUAACCCUGAGCGUGCUUUCGAUACGGGUUGACUUGAGGAAGGUAGGGGAGAAUGGAAUUCCUGGUGGAGCGGUGGAAUGCGCAGAUAUCAGGAGGAACACCAGUGGCGAAGGCGGUUCUCUGGGCCUUUCCUGACGCUGAGGAGCGAAAGCGUGGGGAGCGAACAGGA